rnacentral:lncRNA from 1 species
GAAGAGCUUGAAUCACACGCAGUUCACUCUUUUUUCUCUCAUCCUGAUCUAGCAGGCUUACCAACUAUAUAUCCUGUGGGACCCUUAUUAAACCCUUACCUCAAAACAGAUAAAGUCGUUGGAUCCGAGGAUAUCAUCAAGUGGCUUGAUGAUCAACCUUCUUCCUCGGUAGUUUUUCUCUGCUUCGGGAGCAUGGGUUCUUUCGACGAGGAGCAGGUUAAGGAGAUAGCACUUGCUAUUGAAAAUAGUGGUGUUCGCUUCGUCUGGUCUCUGCGUAAACUAUCACCGAAAGGCUUUAGGCACCCGCCGUCAAAUUAUUCACUUUCAGAAUUGGAAUUGCUUUUACCUGAAGGAUUUUUAGACCGGACUGCUGAAACAGGAAAGGUUGUUGGUUGGAUCCCACAGGCUCAGAUACUUGCCCACCAAGCUAUAGGAGGAUUUGUUUCGCACUGUGGUUGGAAUUCCAUACUGGAGAGCAUAUAUUUUGGUGUGCCUAUUGCCGCGUGGCCUCUUUAUGCGGAACAACAGACAAAUGCUUUUGAAUUGGUGUGUGAUUUGAAGAUGGCUGUGGAGGUUGCAUUGGACUAUAGGGUGGACUUUUAUGGCGAGCGUAACUAUCUUUUAACUGCAGAUAAGAUUGAGAGAGGAAUAGAGAGUGUGUUGGAUAAGAAUGGAGAAGUAAGGAAGAAAGUAAAAGAAAUAAGUGAAAAAAGUAAGAAGACUUUGUUAGAAGGAGGAUCAUCCUACAAUUAUGUAGGCAAUUUGAUUGAUUUUAUUAUGAAUCAGGUAAGAGAUUAAAUUGUUCUAGAACCCUUUACAAGGGAGUCAUGUGAUAUAAGUUUAAUUCUCAACCUAAAUAAUGCUUAGUUUUUGGUUUGAGAAUUUUUCUGUUUUGUAUUACUUUAGUCUUAUAUCCUGUCACCAAAAACUUCUGUUAAUUCUUUAUAAAUAUAAUUUAGAAGUCCCAUAAUAAUGGUAAAAAGUUGCUACAUGAUGAAGGAUGGAUGAGAAACUGAGACUAUCCGUUGUACUUGACUUUCCAUAUCCUAAUAUCCUAUAUGUUACCGAAGGAAACAAAGGGGUAUGGUGAGUUUCAUUGAUUGUGGCUGAAGUAAACAAGUCAAUAAUGAGAGGAAUGAUUCAAGAUUUGUCCCCUAAAUCUAUAAUGUUGAAAACAAAAUGCUGAUUCAAAUGAGCAUCCUCUUGUUUUUUUUUUAAAUUAACAAGCCAUUAUGUAGUCUCAUCCCCACAGUGGGAUAUUUCUGGUUUAUAAAUCUGUUACCUAUUCAAACUAUGAAUUUAGCACCUCUAGACACAUAACUUAUAUGUUAGAAUGGUAUAAUAAAACAUCUCAAAUGAAAAAGAUUAAGCACAUUGCUUCCAUGUAAAAAUAUGUUGAGUACAUCAAACACAAUCAAAAUAAAAAAGGAUAAUUUGAUUUGAUUUUGGAUUCACAAUGUAAUCAAUCAAACCAUCUAAAUAAAUGUAAGAAGAUUCACCCUCUAACAAAGUUUUUCUACUUUUUUCACUCAUCUCUUUCACAUUCUCUCUUACCUCUCCAUCUUUAUCCAACACACUCCUUAUUCCUCUGUCAAUUUUAUCCACAGUUACAAAAUAGUUAGGUCCACUAUUAACCUCCACCCUAUAAUCCAACACAAUCUCCACACCUCUAUCCAAUCAACCAUCACCCAUAGCACAUUAUGUUGGACAGACCGCCUUCAAUCACGCAAGCAAGUUAUAGUAGGCAAGAAGCACCGACAAAUCGAAUUCUUGACGUUAGGAGGUGUUCAAACAUGCCAAAUAAGGUCUCACUUCCACGGUUGCUAAUGUCCGAUUUAUUGAUUAGCUCAUUAUAAUCAUGUACUACUAGAAAAUGGAUUUGAAGCAGAAAAUCAUGUAAUACUAGAAAAUGGAUUAGAAUCCAAAAAUGGAAUAAUAUAAAAAAGAUCCACACAAGUACCAUCCUACAAUGUAAUGUAAUUAUUAAUGGCGGAACAUCAUGAAUGAUGAUUUAACUAGAAUUUUCGUGAAUUAUAGAUGCUUUCUUAAAGCAUUUCUUUCAAAACAAAAUGUCUACUCUUAUUAUCACAUGCCUGUAUUUCCAUGAACCUUUCAUAUAAUGUAUCUAAUCAGAUUACUCAUUUCCUUAUCUUCCAUCACCUUUUCAACUCCUUCUUCAACAUCCUUCAUACCACGCCCAUUCAGCCUUAAACCAACUCUCCAUGCCUCAACAAUAUACGCACAGUUCAGAAACUGAUCUCCGGCCAAAGGGUAGCACAGCAUCUUUUUUCGAAAUUCUAAAAAUUCUCUUUUGAUUCCUUUUUAAAUAAAUAGUACUACAGUACCUGGCUCCCACCAUCUAUCCUUUUCUCCCAUGACAUGAAGACAAAAACAUUUCAAUCUCAUUUCACAACGUUGUCAUCCCAUCCAGCAAAGCCAUGACAUCACUCCAAGAUUCCUCUUACUUAUGACAAAGACAUACAUCAAACACCAUCUAAUAAUCCAAAACAUACCUCUUUUUGGGAAUUAAAACUCAAAUGUAAACACUUCUAAAAACCAGUGGUGUCUCAUGCACUCUAUAAUUUUUAUUUAUUUAUCUAUUAGUGUCUAUUGUGUAUCAAGAAGUGAAAAUUCAAGAUGAAGAAAGCACAAGUGGUGAUCAUCCCUCAUCCUGGUUUGAGCCACCUAGUUUCAACUCUUGAGUUCGCUAAGCUUCUAAUCAACCGUCAUAACCGUCUUCGAAUAACCGUCUUAGUUACGAAAUUCCCAAACAACACUGAACCCAAUGUCAACACUGCAUCCCUCCCCAUCUCCGAUUCACUUCACCUCAUCAAUCUUCCCGAAACUUCUCUUCCUCCAAACAUGGAUCGACGUUCUGCCGUUAACGCUCUCCUCGAAGCUCAAAAACCAAACGUCAAACAAGCUGUCUCUAACCUCACUGCCGAAGAAGACCAACAUGGACCCCUAGCCGCUUUUGUUGUUGAUAUGUUCGGCACUACCAUGGUUGAUAUUGCCAAAGAAUUUUCCGUCCCUGCUCUCGUCUUCUUCACUUCCAGCGUUGCUUUCCUUGGUUUGAUGUUUCAUCUUCACACUCUCUUUGAAAGAGACAACGGUGAUUUGACUCGGUUUCUGCAGCAGAACGAGUUGGCCAUCCCCAGUUUCAACAACUUUGUUCCUUCAAACUCUUUGCCCAGUUUUGUGCUUCAUAAGGAAUGGGAAUCGUUUUUCAUAAACUAUGCAAGUGGCCUCAAGAAACCAAAUGGCAUUAUAAUAAAUUCAUUUGAAGAGCUUGAAUCACAUGCGGUUCACUCCUUUUUCUCUCAUCCUGAUCUAGCAAAUUUACCAACUAUAUAUCCGGUGGGACCUUUAUUAAACCAUGAACUCAAAACAGAUAAAAUCGUUGGAUCGGAUGAUAUCAUCAAGUGGCUUGAUGAUCAACCUUCUUCCUCAGUAGUUUUUCUCUGCUUUGGGAGCAUGGGUUCUUUCGAUGAGGAGCAGGUUAAGGAG